AUACGUAGGGGGCGAGCGUUGUCCGGAAUGAUUGGGCGUAAAGGGCGCGUAGGCGGCCCGGUAAGUCUGGAGUGAAAGUCCUGUUUUUGAGAUGGGAAUUGCUUUGGAUACUGUCGGGCUUGAGUGCAGGAGAGGUAAGUGGAAUUCCCAGUGUAGCGGUGAAAUGCGUAGAGAUUGGGAGGAACACCAGUGGCGAAGGCGACUUACUGGACUGUAACUGACGCUGAGGCGCGAAAGUGUGGGGAGCAAACAGGAUUAGAUACCCUGGUAGUCCACACUGUAAACGAUGAAUGCUAGGUGUAGGGGGUAUCGACCCCUUCUGUGCCGCAGUCAACACAAUAAGCAUUCCGCCUGGGGAGUACGGCCGCAGGUUGAAACUCAAAUGAAUUGGCGGGG
rnacentral:rRNA from 1 species